UACGGAGGGUGCAAGCGUUAUCCGGAUUCACUGGGUUUAAAGGGUGCGUAGGAGGGCAGGUAAGUCAGUGGUGAAAUCUCCAAGCUUAACUUGGAACUGCCGUUGAUACUAUCUGUCUUGAAUACCGUGGAGGUGAGCGGAAUAUGUCAUGUAGCGGUGAAAUGCUUAGAUAUGACAUAGAACACCAAUUGCGAAGGCAGCUCGCUACACGAAUAUUGACUCUGAGGCACGAAA
rnacentral:rRNA from 1 species